ACAAAAUGAUUUAUCUCAUGCUCUUUAUCUUGCUCGCCCCUCCCCUCUGCAUAGCCUAGUGUGUGAAGAAGAAAGGGAAGAAACAAAGGAAGAGGAAGGGCAAGAGAGGAAAGUCGGAAGGGAGGAUUGGUGAACAGAUACAGGGACAGGCACAUGGACGGAUGAUGAGUGGGUUGAUGGGGUGGGUGGGUAGACAGGUGGAUGGAUGGGGGAUGGAUAGGUGAGUAGGUGGAAUAAUGAUGAGUGGGUGGAUGGAUGGAUGGGUGGACAGAUGCCUCUGAAGUUAUAUGAAGACACAAUUUGAGAGGCAGCAAGGUGUCAUUGAAGGAGCAGUGGAUGAAAACUAAGAAGUCCUGGGUUUGGGAUCUGAAUGAACCAAGAAGAGUUGUACUACUAUCUGCAUUUUUCUUGAACCUCUGUUUCCCAAUUUUCCAAUGGAUGAAGUGGAAGUGAUGUCCCAGCAGAUGUUCACGGGCUCCCAACAGAAGGCUAGCAGCAGCAUGGUGCUAUAAGUUAUACAAAGGCUAACAGGAGAGAGAGAGAAAAAGGUUCCAGCUCCCUUGUAUAACGGCGUGACAGUAAUGCACCCUGGUCCUCGGCAGCACAGUAAAUUCCUCCUCUCUGAAUUGUUGGUUCGGGACAAUCAUUCAGCAGGGAAUUACUUUCUCAUCUAUGAAAUAAAUGAGAUGUUAAACUAGUUUUCUGCUUCCUGUGGUACAAAUGUAUCAGUGUGUAGCCCC